rnacentral:rRNA from 1 species
GAUGAACGCUGGCGGCGUGCUUAACACAUGCAAGUCGAACGGUGAACGAGGGAGCUUGCUCCCUCCGGAUCAGUGGCGAACGGGUGAGUAACACGUGAGCAAUCUGCCCUGGACUCUGGGAUAAGCGUUGGAAACGACGUCUAAUACCGGAUACGAGGCGUGGGGGCAUCCCCAACGCCUGGAAAGAACUUCGGUCCAGGAUGAGCUCGCGGCCUAUCAGGUAGUUGGUGAGGUAACGGCUCACCAAGCCUACGACGGGUAGCCGGCCUGAGAGGGUGACCGGCCACACUGGGACUGAGACACGGCCCAGACUCCUACGGGAGGCAGCAGUGGGGAAUAUUGCACAAUGGGCGCAAGCCUGAUGCAGCAACGCCGCGUGAGGGACGACGGCCUUCGGGUUGUAAACCUCUUUUAGCAGGGAAGAAGCGAAAGUGACGGUACCUGCAGAAAAAGCACCGGCUAACUACGUGCCAGCCGCCGCGGUAACAC